CAUAGCGUCUCACCUAUCCCAUCAAAACUUGGGUAAGGAGAGGAUGAUGGCCUCCCAUGUCACACCUGGCGUGGAUGGCCUAAAAAAGGAGCCUUGGGUUACUAGAUGCCGUGGCGAUUGGUGGUAUAAGCAUCUGUCACGGA
rnacentral:misc_RNA from 1 species